rnacentral:rRNA from 1 species
CCUGGUGGCGAGUGGCGAACGGGUGAGUAACAUAUCGGAACAUGUCCGGAAGUGGGGGAUAACGUAGCGAAAGUUACGCUAAUACCGCAUAUGCCCUGAGGGGGAAAGGGGGGGAUCGCAAGACCUCUCGCUUUCGGAGUGGCCGAUAUCGGAUUAGCUAGUAGGUGAGGUAAAGGCUCACCUAGGCGACGAUCCGUAGCUGGUCUGAGAGGACGACCAGCCACACUGGAACUGAGACACGGUCCAGACUCCUACGGGAGGCAGCAGUGGGGAAUUUUGGACAAUGGGGGCAACCCUGAUCCAGCCAUACCGCGUGAGUGAAGAAGGCCUUCGGGUUGUAAAGCUCUUUCGGCAGGAAAGAAAUCGUGCAGGUUAAUAACCUGUAUGGAUGACGGUACCUGAAGAAGAAGCACCGGCUAACUACGUGCCAGCAGCCGCGGUAAUACGUAGGGUGCGAGCGUUAAUCGGAAUUACUGGGCGUAAAGCGUGCGCAGGCGGUUUUGUAAGACAGAUGUGAAAUCCCCGGGCUUAACCUGGGAACUGCAUUUGUGACUGCGAGACUAGAGUGUAGCAGAGGGGGGUAGAAUUCCACGUGUAGCAGUGAAAUGCGUAGAUAUGUGGAGGAAUA